rnacentral:misc_RNA from 1 species
AAAAAAAAAAAAAAAAAAAGAGCAAAAUUAUGUUAAAAGCAACUGGAAGAUCAAGCAUGGAGGUGCUUGCAUUACAGGCUUACAGCACUUAUCAUGAAAGGCCCUUUGUUACACAUGCAAAUUUUAUAUAGCCCUUUGCCCCAGAUACACAUUGGCUAUCUACAUGAAGAAACAAGAACAUUGAAGAAGAAGGCCUACCCAGUCAUAGUAACUAGCUCCACAUUCAACUGCAUAAACUUCCUUGAUAAUUUCCUCCACAUUGCCGUAUUAUAAUACUUCCUAAUUACCUAAAUCCUGAAGGAGCUGCUCUCGGUCCAGCAGCUGCUGCUCUCAUGGCUUUUGAUUGAGCAAGCAAUGCAUCAUAAUCCCGCUUCUCAAACGCAUCAUCGCUUGAGUCGACUAUUUUAUCUGCAAGGCCAUAGUCUAUAGCUUCUUGUGCUUUGAAAUAUUUAGGUCGCUGGAUGUCUUUAUUAAUUUCUUCCUUUGUCUUUCCAGUUCCCUUUGCUAGCAGUUCAAUGUAAUACUCAGUAUUUGCAUCAAGUUCCUUGGCCUUAAUCCACAUAUCUAUCACAGCCCCACUUGAUUUGUUAACUUUUGGCAGAUACAACUUGGCUGAAUUUGAAAAUGACAUUGUUAGAGGACAUGGUACAAAGUGUAUGAUAUCAACUUGUAUUUUCUGAAUCCCAUUCCAAAUUCAACAGAGCAACAAGCAAUUCAUCAUCUCAGAAGAUUAAUCAAUUUUGUGCUCAGCACCAAAAGCAAUAAUAAUUUAACAUUAAAAAAAAAAUUAAAAGCAAAAUCACAGAGAGAGAAUUUGGUAGUGUUUUGGGAGGGGAGGGCUAGCAAGAUGGAAAUAAACUAGCAGGCAGUGAAAACACAAAAAUCAUAGUUAAAUCCUAUUUAAAGGUUGUAUGACUUAACAUCAGUCUGUCCAGUUGUUUCCACACAUACUUUCCUCAAGAUUAUAUUUGAGAGGUCAUCUUAUCCAUAAAAUUAGAACUUUACAAGAUAAGGUUUGAAGAGUGUGAAGGGAGUGAUUUUAAAACCAUAAUCCAGUAAAAGGCUCCCUGACUAUUAAUUUGUUAAACAGUAAAAGAAAAAUGAGAAAAAUCACAUUACUGCUCCCUAAUAGGUUCAAGAUUGCAAAAUACGUCCACCAAAGAUGCCAUGCUAAUAUUUUAAACUUCAAGGAAAAGUAAGAUCAUACUGGAUGAGUUUGGCUGUAAAGCACGAUAACCCUUGGCACCUAGAGAUAGAAGCAUUGCUGCUUGACCAUAUGCCAUGCCACAAUUCACGGUAUAGACAGUUGAUUUGCAAUAAGCCAUGGCAUCAGCAAUCGCAUAUGCCUCCGUUUCAGAACCAACAGUUUCCAUCUUCUCAUUCUGUGUCCCAGAUGAGUUUAUGUACAGAUAUAUAGGCUUUGAAGAGUCAUCAUAAUCCAAAUACAUAAACUGAGCAACAAGAAGCUCAGUGACUGCUGGUACAAUUGGCAUUCCCAGAUAGCAUAUCCGAGCAUCUAAGAGCAAAGAAGGCAAAUCAGGAGGAGCACUCCUAGGCCUCCCAUAUCCUCUGCCUCCUCCACGGUACAUGCUUACACUCAUGCUGUAUUUUAAAGGACCACUAUCCAUCAUGCCUGAUACACUGUACAUUCCUCCAUGAUCCAAGUAAUUCUUUCGAGAAGAUAUGCUUUCCUCUGUAACACUUUCUGACUGUCGACGGACAGGAUUAUCUUCAGUCAUGAACAUGUCCAGUUGUGAAGGAGUAAGGCCAUAAAGAUGUCGUGGUACAUUCUUGUAAUUUUCCAUCACUCCAUCCUUGAGAUUUUCUUGUCUGAACUGGUUGGGUAUGUGGUCGAAAGACUUCCCUGAUGCAGAAGGGGGCUUGUAGCAUCUCUGUUGAACCAGUCUCUGUUUUCUUGGAUUGGUUAAGAAGACAAGCUUGGUGUUAGAGAGGAAAGAGGAUUUUGGGAACCCAGUCGAGGGACUCGCCAUUUCAGGAGUUGGAGCAGAGAGCUGAGAUAAGAGAGAGGUUGCCAUGUUCCUCUAUAAACACAAGACUGAAAGUUGCUCUCAAUCCGAAGUCUCUUUGCGCAUCCGCAGGAGAGGGACGAUAGGAAAGCUUGAG